GAUGAACGCUAGCUACAGGCUUAACACAUGCAAGUCGAGGGGUAACAAGAGAAAAGCUUGCUUUUCUCGUUGACGACCGGCGCACGGGUGAGUAACGCGUAUCCAACCUACCCACAACUAGAGAAUAACCUUGCGAAAGUAAGACUAAUGCUCUAUAAUUUCCUCAGAUGGCAUCUGACGAGGAAUAAAGAUUUAUCGGUUAUGGAUGGGGAUGCGUCUGAUUAGCUUGUUGGCGGGGUAACGGCCCACCAAGGCAACGAUCAGUAGGGGUUCUGAGAGGAAGGUCCCCCACAUUGGAACUGAGACACGGUCCAAACUCCUACGGGAGGCAGCAGUGAGGAAUAUUGGUCAAUGGGCGGAAGCCUGAACCAGCCAAGUAGCGUGCAGGAUGACGGCCCUAUGGGUUGUAAACUGCUUUUAUACAGGAAUAAAGUUAGCCACGUGUGGUUAUUUGUAGGUACUGUAUGAAUAAGGACCGGCUAAUUCCGUGCCAGCAGCCGCGGUAAUCAUA
rnacentral:rRNA from 1 species